AACGAACGCUGGCGGCAUGCCUAACACAUGCAAGUCGAACGAUGGUCUUCGGAUCAUAGUGGCGCACGGGUGCGUAACGCGUGGGAAUCUGCCCUUGGGUUCGGAAUAACAGUUGGAAACGACUGCUAAUACCGGAUGAUGUCGAUAAGACCAAAGAUUUAUCGCCCGAGGAUGAGCCCGCGUCGGAUUAGCUAGUUGGUGGGGUAAAGGCCUACCAAGGCGACGAUCCGUAGCUGGUCUGAGAGGAUGAUCAGCCACACUGGGACUGAGACACGGCCCAGACUCCUACGGGAGGCAGCAGUGGGGAAUAUUGGACAAUGGGCGCAAGCCUGAUCCAGCAAUGCCGCGGGAGUGAUGAAGGCCUUAGGGUGGUAAAGCUCUUUUACCCGGGAAGAUAAUGACUGUACCGGGAGAAUAAGCCCCGGCUAACUCCGU
rnacentral:rRNA from 1 species